CACACAGGCAUAGUUCGUUUGGCUUCCACCUAAUCCAUCAUCCUGAUAUUCCACUCGAAUAAGUGGAUUCGCCCAUUCAUGACCAGACUAUACUUAAAGCAUCUGUAAUGCGAGAAUCUUUAAGAAUCCCUUCUUCAAAUUAGAUACGUGCUCGGUGGAAUUUGAAUGGGAAAUUGUUUCAAGAAAUUGUGGGAUAUUUGAAAUUGUGAGAAACAGUAACCAAAGGGUUGUCUUUGUGAGGAUAGGAAAGCGUUGAAUGGAACUUGAUGGGGAGAAAAAGUGGUUUGAAGCAGCUUCAGGAACCUUUUGAUGGAAAAGUAAUGAAUAUGAUGAUAACGAAAGAAAAGUUCAUGACCCUAUUGGAAUUACUGGCUAAGAAAGAUUUAAAAAGCCAUUUUUGAUACAAAUUGAAAGAACACAGAAUUAUGCCUGGCAAUAUUUGUCACUGGAUCGAGUUGACAGUUUACAGACUUGUAAUUCAACUAAUAUAAUUAGAUAGACAGAAUGCUUCACCUACUUUCUUCACUGGCUGCAUCUUGCUAAUUACAGAACAACCUAACCCAGUUGAGAGUUAAAUUUAUCAAGAUUUUCUUAUAAAAAUCACACGAACAGUCCACAGUAAAAAUCACGAAUUUGUUCCAAAAUCCAAACCUGACCCAGAUCGUUGAAAUACUCAAAAAUACGUUCUUGUAAAACCACCAAAUUUUUAUACAAAAUUCCAAACUGAUCGCUUUGACUAUUCUAAAAAUUCUAAUUUUAAAUUUUCCACAGAUGUAUGAUCAGCCAUAGUCUACCAGUCGCUAUAGUCGAGAUGGCCCUACGACGCUAAUCAACAACCCCAUAAUAUAAUAAUCCAUAAGCAUUCAGCCAAAACUUAGCCUUGUUUGGUAAUAAGAGAAAUAAAAAAUCCAUAGUUAUUUAUUUAUUAAUUACUAUAGCCACCAAUUACUAGCCCUACUUCGACCAUUAACCAACAGGCCCAUAAUAAUUAUUUAUGUAAUUAUUAAUUAUUCAAAAAAUGGCCUGAUUUUAUAGGAAAAAAUUUGUUUAAAUUUAAAAUAUUCACGAAUAAGUGACAGUAGCGGCUGAAAUUUUCUAUGCAGCUUAUUUCCGCUGGUACCUAAAGCCGCGAAUGAAUAUUCAAUGGGGGUUGCUAUUUCGAGUAGGAUCACGAAGUCCGGAUUUUUCUCGGCGAGUUCGCGCGGGUCGUUGCACCCUCGGCUUGACGUUGGGUGGCGGUUCUAUUUGAUUUCUGGCUAGCAUACAAAACUAAUUAAGGCCAAGACAAACCAUCCGGGACUGGGAUAAAACUUAUUUAUAGAGGCGACUAAUUUUGAAAAACGGCCGAUGGUGUUUUUGCGCAAUGGGCUGCCUCGGCCCCCAACACCCCCGAUAAUUCGUCGUUCGAUUAAGAAAUUCUGCAACUCAGAUUAUGCCCCUGUAUCGAUCGGUUAAUUUAUAGAAAUACAUUUCAAAGAAAUUUUACGUUUUUGAAGCAAUAAAAAUUUCAGCGAAUUUGUAUUUUCAGGUAGAUAAGUUAAACGCUUUUGUAUAGAAUUUAAUCGAAUCUUUUUAUCCUAAGUUUAGCGGAAAAAAUAGUUUGAGAAUCUGUGACGUGAUACGUUUGUCGAAAUCGGUGAAAUUUGAUAGAACGAGAAAUUUUACGAACACGUUAUAUCAACAUAUUAUUUAAAUGGAUAAAAGAAGCUUGAGAAUGUUUGAAGAAUCGUGUUUGUCGAAGUUGAGUCUUGAACCAUUGGCUAAAGGGAAAUACGUAGCAUACUCUCGAAAUAGUAACAUGCGAUACAAGCACUUACCACACUUGAAGCACAUCUUGUGCCAUUUGAGUCCUCCGGCGACGCGUUCUUCCGCGGC